UCUGACCUAGAGACUUUGCAGGUGUGGCUACUGUGUCAUGUGUGCCUCAGUAGGUGGCAGAGGGAAGAGAAGCUAUAUCUACGCUCAGCGUUCUGACCUGUGAACAACUGAAGGAAUAGUACUCUAACCUU
ensembl:snoRNA Gm22268 small nucleolar RNA SNORA17